UACGUAGGGGGCAAGCGUUGUCCGGAAUCAUUGGGCGUAAGGCGCGUGUAGGCGGCUAGAUAAGUCUGCUCUGAAAGCCCGGGGCUCAACCCCGGGAGGCGGGUGGAUACUGUCUAGCUCGAGUCCGGAAGAGGGGUGUGGAAUUCCUGGUGUAGCGGUGAAAUGCGCAGAUAUCAGGAGGAACACCGGUGGCGAAGGCGGGUCUCUGGGCAGUAACUGACGCUGAGGAGCGAAAGCGUGGGGAGCGAACAGG
rnacentral:rRNA from 1 species